ensembl:snoRNA small nucleolar RNA SNORA29
UGUCCCAUUUUAGUCCCUUCCAUUCACUCUGUCAUGAAUGGAUGGUUAUGCUAAUGGGAUAGAUUAAACACUGUCAUGGUCUGAAGGUGUGGCUAGCAUUCUGUGCACCACACUAAAUAGAAUGACAGAACAACGAAAA